GCUUUAGUCCUCUGCCUUGCUAGGAAGGAGCACGCCCAGCUUGGAGGGCCCUGAGCACCUUGGGAAGAGGGGAGUAGGACUGGGACUCAAGCUCCCAUCUUCGCUGCUGGGGAGCAUCCUUGGUCUGCCUCUCCCUCCCACAACCCUGGUUCCUUUACAGGUUCUGUUUCUGGCACUGCUGUGGGAAUGGGCUUACUGCCUGAGUACAUGGAUCCCCGCUGCAGAGGGAAAAUCGUGAACAGCUUGUACUUGUGUGCACACCCAGGUAUGAGUGUGGGAGCCUUCAGGGACUUCCUGAGGAGCACAUUGGGACAUCUGAAACCUUGGCUUCCUGCUUGGCUCCUUGAGUGGUCCAGGUUAAUAAAGAUUUCAGCUGCCCUUGGUGCAGAGCAUGCUAGAGGCAAGGAAACCACGGACAGGAGCAAAGGCCUCAGGGACUGCUGAGACUGACAGAAGGCUGGGAAUCUGUUGAGAUGUUCGUGGGCAGACAGGAGGCCAGCAGACCACUGCACCAAGGCCCACUCUACUGGCAUGAAUCCUGGGUACCCAGAUCUCAGAGCUCCCCCAAACCCCACUCUCUCCACAACCUAAUUGGGAGCAAGUAGACAUGGCCUUCAAAUGCCCUGGCAAGGACCAGGGUCAGGUUAGAAGGAUUGAGAGGAUGUGGUUGCCCUCCUGCAAACUCCCAGGCACAUUCCAGAGCACCUCCAUGCUGGCUCCCUAGGAGAACCCAUCUCUGGAAAGCGAUCCUCCGGGGCCCCUGGCUCCUCCUGUGGUCAGGAACCCUAACUAGUACAGAUCACCACCCCUUCUCUGGGAGAGACUAGGUCUUCAGCAAGACACAGAGCCUGCUCCAGGGGCAAUCGGGCAUGGUAGAAACAGAUGCUAACCCUGGAACUCUCUAAAACGCCUGGUAAAAAUCAACCCCUGACCUCAGGAAGUUCCCAGUCUGGUGGGAAAGGCUUGGCUCUGAUGGCCGAAACCUUGCUUCUAAGGGGGAGAGACCCCUGUCCUCAGGGAACUAGGAACAUAUGGAAUUCCAAAAGCAUGUUUUCAGGCACAGGAAAAGUUGUCAGGACUGCCUGCUGGAGGGGAUGGAAGAUAUCUAGUUAAGCUGAAGAGAAGGCAACAAACAUCCUAGCAUAAGUAUAUCCCAUACAGCAUUUGAGAUAUACUUAUACUUAGCUCCAUUCUGUGUAACUGGAUAUCCUGUAUUAUUUGCCAAAUAACAAGCAAGUGUCCAGCUUGAGAUAGACAGAGACAGACACAACUCCUCAUGACU